rnacentral:lncRNA from 1 species
GACGAAACUAGAUGAACAUCAAGCCCCAAAAGGUGAAUAAACCUUAAGUACUUACUAAUAGCUGUUGAUGAUUAAGUACCUUCAUUAAUUUAUAGUUCAGAGGAAUUCGUGGAAAGAGGAGACCACUGCACUUAUUUGAAGGGGUCGGUUAUUGAAUAGAUUGUUUGUAAAUGAAAAUCAUAGAAGCCCUGCAAAGUGUGUUGCCAUCACAAAAAAAAUGGUGCACGGCAACAAAAGCUUCAAAACACCUUUUGGCUAUUAUUAUAGUUGCCGACCUUUUGGCUAUACCAGAGAUCAUUUGCUUUGCAAAAGUUUCCCUUUGAUUAGGUGAAGCUGUAUGUAUAUUUAGUCUUUAAGCAAAUAUUGUUUUGAAUAUUCACAUAGUCAUGAGUGACACAUUUGAGGCAAAAGGGUCACUGAUUCUUUUGUAUUGACCCAGCUGGCAAUGAUGACGUGUGACAGUUUCUAGGUGGAAUGUAGCAGAUUAUAAUCUCCUCACCUCAAAUAUUCAGGUCUGAUCAUAUUUUAAGGAGUAUCCAUAAUAGCAUAUGCUUGUAGUGUGUUUCAUAAAUUCUCCUACCGUUUGACUUGCACAAGAAUGCAAGGUGAAGAUGCUUUAAAAAAAUCAGAUCUGAAAAACCAUGUCAUUUUUUUCACGUGGUAGAUAAAAACUGUACUCAGCCAUGGACAUAGUAACAUAGAAAUUUGGACUUGGGUCCACUCCUCACUUCCCCAUUCAUCUGAAAGCCAUUGCAUCUUGAUCAAGUUUCUUUUGAAUUUAGUCAUUAGUAUCAUUCGAUGAGUUCAUAGAAGUUACUUUACCGAAUGUAAGAAGAACAUUAAUCUGUUGGGAUUUUGCCUCCAUUAUUUGAAGAAAUGCUAGCAAUUAUUCUUCGACCUCUUGCAAAACAACGCAAAUCUACAUACUUAACAUAUGCUGGAUACAUAUUACUCCCUCUGUAAAGAAAUAUAAGAGCGUUUAGAUCACUACUUUAGUGAUCGAAACGCUCUUAUAUUUGUUUACGGAGGGAGUACUUUUAUGAUUAUUGUCCGCAAAAAAAAACAUGUGUGCCUUUCCUUGUAGCCAAAAGAAUGUUUGUUUGACCCAUUUUUUUUAUCUCUGUAGACUUGUGAGUAGUGACAAUGGAGGUUCUCUGGGAUGAAGAACACAUGCUUUUUAUUUUUACGAUAUGUAUCUGCUUUAUUUUGCAAAGUGGAACUCAUGGACACGGCGCAAAGUAGUUAUUACGGCUGUUACAUUUAUAAUGUCAGUUGAAGUGUUGGAGCUUAGAUUAUUCGUUUCUAUUUGUAGAUGGAUGAUUUCUUCUUGUCGGAGCCUGCUGUGAUGGUACCUGGUACGGACCUGCCAAAUUGAAUUUGAAAGUACUCUUUGGUCGCCUUCUCAGUCUGUACUAUCCUGGGAUUUUCGUUUGUAUAAGUAUCUACGGGAUUAUUAUACCUGAUUGUGCCAAGAUUUAACCGACUUGGUCUGAUUAUGCCUUUCGUGGAGAAAAAAAAUAAUGCUUAGUUGGAAGUUUCUGCUUUGUUUUGCUUCUGUUCUUACGUUAUCAAGUCGUUGGAGAAAGAUGUACUCCAAUCCUAUCUCUAGCUCGCCGUACCUGCUUACUUUUAAUUUUAAUGUAUUUAGCAAUUUAUGCAACCUGGCCUUAAAUGGACCAUUUUCAGUCUAUAGUUCCAGUCGAUCUAACAAUCACUCGUAAAUAG